AAAGGUAAAUUUAAAAAUUUAUAAAUAAUAAAAAUAAUUUUAAUUUAAUAAUAUUUAAUGGGGGUUAAAGUAUUAUUUAAAGAAAAAAUUUGAAAAUUUAUAAAGAAUUAGUAUAGUGAUAGAAUUAUUGAAAUAAUUAUGAAAAAAAAAUUAUUGGGAAGUAAUUUUUAAUUAAUGUAUCUUGUGUAUCAGAGUUUAUUAAAAAAUUUUUUUUUAUAAAAAAAUUCUCGAAUUUAAAAGAAAUAAAUAAAUAAAAAAUUUAUUGUUGCAAAAAUAUUUUUAAUAUUUAUUUGGAAAUGAGAUGUUAAUCGUUUUUAAAGAUAUCUAGUUUUUUUAGAAAAAAAUUUAAUUUUAAAUUUUUAUUAUUAAUUAAUAAAUUAAUUUAUUAAUUAAAAUAAAUUUUUUUAUAAUUUAUGGGAUAAGCUUUAAAUUAAAUUUUUAUAAUAAAUGAAUUUAAUUAAUAAAAAUUUUAUAAUUUAUAUUUUUAAUAAAUUUUAAUUUUUUAUAAAUAAUUUUAUUAGUAAAAAAAUUUAAUUUAUAAAUUUAAUUUUUUAUAAAAAAAUAAUUUUUAAUUUUAUAAAAUUAGUUAUAAUGAUAAAAUUAGUAUAUUAAAAUUUAUAUUUAGAAUAAUUUAAUAAUUUAUAAAAAGGAAUUCGGCAAAAAUUUAUAUUUACCUGUUUAUCAAAAACAUGUCUUUUUGUUAAUAAUUUAAGGUCUAAUCUGCCCACUGAUGAAAAUUAAAGGGCUGCAGUAUUUUGACUGUACAAAGGUAGCAUAAUCAAUAGUCUCUUAAUUGGUGACUUGUAUGAAUGAUUGGAUAAGAUAUAAACUGUCUCUUUAUAAAAUAAUAGAAUUUAAUUUUUUUAUUAAAAAGUUAAAAUAAUAAAAAAAGACGAGAAGACCCUAUAGAGUUUUAUAAAAAAUUAAAUUAAAAUUUUUUAUAUAAUUUUAAUUAAAAUUUAAUUUUUUAUUUUAUUGGGGUGAUAAAAAAAUUAAAUUAACUUUUUUUAUAUUUAAUGUUUAUAUAUAUAUAUAUAUAUAUAUAUAUAUAUAUAUAAAUAUUUAUAACAUAAAUAAAUGAGUAAAUGAUCCAUAAUUUAUGAUUAAAUGAUUAAAUUACCUUAGGGAUAACAGCGUAAUUUUUUUUUUUAGUUCAUAUAAAAAGAAAAGUUUGCGACCUCGAUGUUGGAUUAAGAUAAAAUUUAAAUGCAAAAGUUUAAAAUUUUGAUCUGUUCGAUCAUUAAAAUCUUACAUGAUCUGAGUUCAAACCGGUGUGAGCCAGGUUGGUUUCUAUCUUUUUUAAAUUAAAAUAUUUUAGUACGAAAGGAUCAAAUAUUUAAAAUAAUUUUAUUAAUUUGAAUUUUAUUAAAUGUAUUAUAUAGAAUAAGCCA
rnacentral:rRNA from 1 species